rnacentral:rRNA from 1 species
UACAGAGGGUGCAAGCGUUAAUCGGAAUUACUGGGCGUAAAGCGUGCGUAGACGGUUACAUAAGUCGGGUGUGAAAGCCCCGGGCUCAACCUGGGAAUUGCAUUCGAGACUGCGUAGCUAGGGUGCGGAAGAGGGAAGCGGAAUUUCCGGUGUAGCGGUGAAAUGCGUAGAUAUCGGAAGGAACACCAGUGGCGAAAGCGGCUUCCUGGUCCAGCACCGACGUUCAGGCACGCAAGCGUGGGGAGCAAACAGG